GAUGAACGCUGGCGGCGUGCCUAAUACAUGCAAGUCGAGCGAACGGACGAGAAGCUUGCUUCUCUGAUGUUAGCGGCGGACGGGUGAGUAGCACGUGGAUACCUACCUAUAAGACUGGGAUAACUUCGGGAAACCGUAGCUAAUACCGGAUAAUAUUUUGAACCGCAUGGUUCAAAAGUGAAAGACGGUCUUGCUGUCACUUAUAGAUGGAUCCGCGCUGCAUUAGCUAGUUGGUAAGGUAACGGCUUACCAAGGCAACGAUGCAUAGCCGACCUGAGAGGGUGAUCGGCCACACUGGAACUGAGACACGGUCCAGACUCCUACGGGAGGCAGCAGUAGGGAAUCUUCCGCAAUGGGCGAAAGCCUGACGGAGCAACGCCGCGUGAGUGAUGAAGGUCUUCGGAUCGUAAAACUCUGUUAUUAGGGAAGAACAUAUGUGUAAGUAACUGUGCACAUCUUGACGGUACCUAAUCAGAAAGCCACGGCUAACUACGUG
rnacentral:rRNA from 1 species